rnacentral:rRNA from 1 species
CACUUUCCAAGGAGGCAGCAGGCGCGCAAAUUACCCACUCCCAGUUCGGGAAGGUGGUGACGAAAAAUACCGAUGCGGGACUCCUUAAAGAGGCUCCGUAAUCGGAAUGAGUGAACUAUAAAUCCUUUCACGAGGAUCAAUUGGAGGGCAAGUCUGGUGCCAGCAGCCGCGGUAACUCCAGCUCCAAUAGCGUAUAUUAAAGUUGCUGCAGUUAAAAAGCUCGUAGUUGGAUCUCGGUAUCACUGUUGCCUAUUGGUCUUUGGGCGGGUACUUAUCGGUGCAUAGGCUUUAGCUUGUGCUACCAUAGUUGCCUGUUUCAAGCCGGUGUGGCGGUGGUGUCACCUUUCAGCCAUGUCUGUGGUGAAAUACCCGCAGGUGUAGUCGAGUGUCAGGCGGUGCCUUGCUUCAAGUAGGGUUCGUCGGCUCGUUUGCAUGCCUUUAGAUGCCCUUCAAAAGGUGUCUGUGGGCGGAUGGCACGUUUACUUUGAACAAAUUUGAGUGCUCAAACCAGGCCGAUGUUGCCUGAAAAGUUUUGCAUGGAAUAAUGGAAUAGGACUUCGGUUCUAUUUCGUUGGUUUNCGGAUCCGAAGUAAUGAUCAAAAGAGACAGGCGGGGACGUUUGUAUGGCUGCNCUAGAGGUGAAAUUCAUGGACCGUAGCCAGACAAACUAAAGCGAAAGCAUUCGUCAAGCAUGUUUCAUUGGCCAUGAGCGAAAGUCANAGGCUCGAAGACNAUCAGAUCCGCCUAGUUCUGACCAUAAACGAUGCCAACUGACGAUCCGUGGUGGUAGUCUAUUAACCUUCCCCACGGGCAGUCCCCGGGAAACCUUUAAGUCUUUGGGUUCCGGGGGAAGUAUGGUUGCAAANCUGAAACUUAAAGGAAUUACGGAAGGGCACCACCAGGAAUGAAGCUUGCGGCUUAAUUUGACUCAACACGGAAAACUCACCGGCCCGGACACUAUGAGGAUUGNCAGAUUGAUAGCUCUUUCUUGAUUUGGUGGUUGGUGGUGCAUGGCCGUUCUUAGUUGGUGGAGCGAUUUGUCUGGUUAAUUCCGAUAACGAACGAGACUCCAGCCUGCUAAUUAGUGCAUCUGUCCACUGUUCCUGUGUAGNCGGCGUUCGGCUAGGCUGUUUCCGUAUUCUGCCUUGAGGUUGGCUUACUCCUUUGGAGUGGGUUGGUUUCUGGGUAGUUGAGAUUUGGCUGAUCCAGCGUUAGCUUCCGGGUACGGCGCGGGUGUCUACUUCUUAGAGGGACAAGCGGGAGAAGCCGCACGAAAUUGAGCAAUAACAGGUCUGUGAUGCCCUUAGAUGUCCGGGGCCGCACGCGCGCUACAAUGACGGUGCCAACGAGUCUGACCUUCUGGCCCGAAAGGGUUGGGCAAACUGGUCAAUCACCGUCAUGACAGGGAUCGGGGCUUGGAAUUGUUCCCCGUGAACGAGGAAUUCCUAGUAAGUGCAAGUCAUAAGCUUGCGCUGAUUACGUCCCUGCCCUUUGUACACACCGCCGUCGCUACUACCGAUUGAAUGGUUUAGUAAGGUCCUUGGAUUGGCGCUAUUGUGGUGGUUACCGAGAGGUGGCUUCCCGACAGGUGCUGAGAAGACGACCAAACUUGAUCAUUUAGAGGAAGUAAAAGUCGUAACAAGGGUUUUCG